rnacentral:rRNA from 1 species
GACGAACGCUGGCGGCGUGCUUAACACAUGCAAGUCGAACGGAAAGGCCCUGCGUUUGUGGGGUGCUCGAGUGGCGAACGGGUGAGUAACACGUGAGUAACCUGCCCUUGACUUUGGGAUAACUUCAGGAGACUGGGGCGAAUACCGGAGAGGAGCUCCUGCUCCAUGUUGGUGGUUGGAAAGUUUCGGCGGUUGGGUAUGGACUCGCGGCUUAUCAGCUUGUUGGUGGGGUAGUUGCUUACCAAGGCUUUGACGGGUAGCCGGCAUUAGAGGGUUAACGGCGACAUUGGGACUGAGAUAGGGCGCAGACUCCUACGGGAGGCAGCAGUGGGGAAUAUUGCACAAUGGGCGCAAGCGUGAUGCAGAAACGCCGCGUGCGGGAUGACGGCUUUCGGGUUGUAAACCGCUUUCGACUGAGACGAACCGUGCGUGACGGUAAUGGGUCAAGAAGCAACGGCUAACUACGUG